AUGGACGCACGGAUGAGGCUGAUAAUUCAGGAAGCAGCACUGAUUAGUGUGAUUCAGGCAUGCGUCAUGUUCAUGCACCAGAGAGUUGUUCGUCGUGCUGGGAGACCUUUGUGUUGGGGAACGCAGUAAUUUAUCCGGGAACAGGAGAGGAUCCAAAAUCUGAACUACAUCUACAACUGCAAUGACGUCGAGGCUCUGUGGAUGCUUCGAAUGAAAAGAGCACCAUUUGCCAGGCUUGUCGAGACCUUCAGGAGCAGGGGGCUACUACAAGAUAACAUCAACACCAGUGUCGAAGAGCCCAUGUUCCUCCAUGUUGUUGGCCAUAACCAGAGGUUCAGGGUCAUUCACAACACGUGCAGGAGAUGAAUGGAGACCAUCUCUAAGUACUUCAAGCAGGUGCCUUUUGCUAUUGGGGAGCUUAGAGGAGAGAUGAUCAGGAGACCAUCUGGCCAGAAUCCACCCAAGAUUUGCAGAAGCCCAAGAUGGUAUCCAUACUUCAAGGUGAGCAUUGACAAUAUACACUUUUCAUGGCUUGAUAUGCUUGUAUUGUUCAAGUUGAGCACUAACACAGGAUUGUGA
rnacentral:rRNA from 1 species